rnacentral:rRNA from 1 species
CCUACGGGAGACAGCAGUGAGGAAUAUUGGUCAAUGGACGGGAGUCUGAACCAGCCAAGUAGCGUGAAGGAUGACUGCCCUAUGGGUUGUAAACUUCUUUUAUAAAGGAAUAAAACGAGGCACGUGUGCCUUUUUGCAUGUACUUUAUGAAUAAGGAUCGGCUAACUCCGUGCCAGCAGCCGCGGUAAUACGGAGGAUCCGAGCGUUAUCCGGAUUUAUUGGGUUUAAAGGGAGCGUAGAUGGGUUGUUAAGUCAGUUGUGAAAGUUUGGGGCUCAACCGUAGAAUUGCAGUUGAAACUGGCGGUCUUGAGUACAGGGGAGGUAGGCGGAAUGCGUGGUGUAGCGGUGAAAUGCUUAGAUAUGACGAAGAACCCCGAUUGCGAAGGCAGCUUACUGAAGUGGAACUGACGUUGAUGCUCGAAAGUGUGGGUAUCGAACAGGAUUAGAUACCCUAGUAGUC